UACAGAGGGUGCGAGCGUUGUCCGGAUUUACUGGGCGUAAAGAGCGCGCAGGCGGCUGGUCAAGUCCGAUGUGAAAGCUCCCGGCUUAACUGGGAAAUUGCAUCGGAAACUGAUCGGCUGGAAGGUGGGAGAGGGUAGCGGAAUUCCCGGUGUAGUGGUGAAAUGCGUAGAUAUCGGGAGGAACACCAGUGGCGAAAGCGGCUACCUGGCCCAUUCUCGACGCUGAGGCGCGAAAGCUAGGGGAGCAAACGGG
rnacentral:rRNA from 1 species